UACGUAGGGGGCCAGCGUUGUCCGAAGUUACUGGGCGUAAAGAGCGCGUAGGCGGGCCCUUAAGUGGGGGGUGAAAGGUUGGGGCUCAACCCCAACACUGCCUUUCAUACUGGGGGCCUUGAGUGCGGGAGAGGCGAGUGGAAUGGUCGGCGUAGCGGUGAAAUGCGUAGAUAUCGAUCGGAACACCCAUGGCGAAGGCAGCUCGCUGGCCUGCAACUGACGCUGAGGCGCGAAAGCCGGGGGAGCGAACAGG
rnacentral:rRNA from 1 species